UACGGAGGGUUCAAGCGUUAUCCGGAUUUACUGGGUUUAAAGGGUGUGUAGGCGGGCUUUUAAGUCAGUGGUGAAAUCUCCGGGCUCAACCUGGAAACUGCCAUUGAUACUAUUAGUCUUGAAUUCUGUUGAGGUAGGCGGAAUAAGUCAUGUAGCGGUGAAAUGCAUAGAUAUGACUUAGAACACCAAUUGCGAAGGCAGCUUACUAAGCAGAUAUUGACGCUGAGGCACGAAAGCGUGGGGAUCAAACAGG
rnacentral:rRNA from 1 species